AGAGUUUGAUCCUGGCUCAGGAUGAACGCUAGCUACAGGCUUAACACAUGCAAGUCGAGGGGCAUCAGGAUCUAGCAAUAGAUUGCUGGCGACCGGCGCACGGGUGAGUAACACGUAUCCAACCUGCCUUAUACUCGGGGAUAGCCUUUCGAAAGAAAGAUUAAUACCCGAUAUCAUACUCUUGCCGCAUGGUAAGAUUAUGAAAGGAUUCCGGUAUAAGAUGGGGAUGCGUUCCAUUAGGCAGUUGGUGGGGUAACGGCCCACCAAACCUUCGAUGGAUAGGGGUUCUGAGAGGAAGGUCCCCCACAUUGGAACUGAGACACGGUCCAAACUCCUACGGGAGGCAGCAGUGAGGAAUAUUGGUCAAUGGGCGAGAGCCUGAACCAGCCAAGUAGCGUGAAGGAUGACUGCCCUAUGGGUUGUAAACUUCUUUUAUAUGGGAAUAAAGUAGGCUAUGCAUAGCCUUUUGUAUGUACCAUAUGAAUAAGGAUCGGCUAACUCCGUGCCAGCAGCCGCGGUAAUACGGAGGAUCCGAGCGUUAUCCGGAUUUAUUGGGUUUAAAGGGAGCGUAGGUGGACAGUUAAGUCAGUUGUGAAAGUUUGCGGCUCAACCGUAAAAUUGCAGUUGAUACUGUCUGUCUUGAGUACAGUAGAGGUGGGCGGAAUUCGUGGUGUAGCGGUGAAAUGCUUAGAUAUCACGAAGAACUCCGAUUGCGAAGGCAGCUCACUGGACUGCAACUGACACUGAUGCUCGAAAGUGUGGGUAUCAAACAGGAUUAGAUACCCUGGUAGUCCACACAGUAAACGAUGAAUACUCGCUGUUUGCGAUAUACAGUAAGCGGCCAAGCGAAAGCAUUAAGUAUUCCACCUGGGGAGUACGCCGGCAACGGUGAAACUCAAAGGAAUUGACGGGGGCCCGCACAAGCGGAGGAACAUGUGGUUUAAUUCGAUGAUACGCGAGGAACCUUACCCGGGCUUAAAUUGCAUUUGAAUAUACAGGAAACCGUAUAGCCGCAAGGCAAAUGUGAAGGUGCUGCAUGGUUGUCGUCAGCUCGUGCCGUGAGGUGUCGGCUUAAGUGCCAUAACGAGCGCAACCCUUAUCUUUAGUUACUAACAGUUCAUGCUGAGGACUCUAGAGAGACUGCCGUCGUAAGAUGUGAGGAAGGUGGGGAUGACGUCAAAUCAGCACGGCCCUUACGUCCGGGGCUACACACGUGUUACAAUGGGGGGUACAGAAGGCAGCUACCUGGUGACAGGAUGCUAAUCCCAAAAACCUCUCUCAGUUCGGAUCGAAGUCUGCAACCCGACUUCGUGAAGCUGGAUUCGCUAGUAAUCGCGCAUCAGCCAUGGCGCGGUGAAUACGUUCCCGGGCCUUGCACACACCGCCCGUC
rnacentral:rRNA from 1 species